AAUCAACGCUGGCGGCGUGCCUCAGACAUGCAAGUCGAACGCGAAAGUCCCCGUUCGGGGGACAAGUAGAGUGGCGCACGGGUGAGUAACACGUAGGUAAUCUACCUUCGGAUGGGGAAUAACAACCGGAAACGGUUGCUAAUACCGCAUAAUGCAGCGGCACCUAAUGGUGACAGUUGUUAAAGCGGGGGAUCGAAAGACCUCGCGUCU
rnacentral:rRNA from 1 species